rnacentral:rRNA from 2 species
GGGUUGUGAGGUUAAGCGACUAAGCGUACACGGUGGAUGCCCUGGCAGUCAGAGGCGAUGAAGGGCGUGCUAAUCUGCGAUAAGCGCCGGUAAGGUGAUAUGAACCGUUAUAACCGGCGAUACCCGAAUGGGGAAACCCAGUGUGACUCGUCACACUAUCAUUAACUGAAUCCAUAGGUUAAUGAGGCGAACCGGGGGAACUGAAACAUCUAAGUACCCCGAGGAAAAGAAAUCAACCGAGAUUCCCCCAGUAGCGGCGAGCGAACGGGGAGGAGCCCAGAGCCUGAAUCAGCAUGUGUGUUAGUGGAAGCGUCUGGAAAGGCGCGCGAUACAGGGUGACAGCCCCGUACACAAAAGCGCAUGUGCUGUGAGCUCGAUGAGUAGGGCGGGACACGUGGUAUCCUGUCUGAAUAUGGGGGGACCAUCCUCCAAGGCUAAAUACUCCUGACUGACCGAUAGUGAACCAGUACCGUGAGGGAAAGGCGAAAAGAACCCCGGCGAGGGGAGUGAAAAAGAACCUGAAACCGUGUACGUACAAGCAGUGGGAGCCCCACCACUAAGCCAGUGGUGAACUCCACAUACGCAUCCUUUGCUGAGGAUACGGUUAACGGAGCGAAAGCGACGUUCAACCGCAAAAGAAGCAGAGGGGGCUUAGUGGUGGGGUGACUGCGUACCUUUUGUAUAAUGGGUCAGCGACUUAUAUUCUGUAGCAAGGUUAACCGCAUAGGGGAGCCGGAGGGAAACCGAGUCUUAAUUGGGCGUUAAGUUGCAGGGUAUAGACCCGAAACCCGGUGAUCUAGCCAUGGGCAGGUUGAAGGUUGGGUAACACUAACUGGAGGACCGAACCGACUAAUGUUGAAAAAUUAGCGGAUGACCUGUGGCUGGGGGUGAAAGGCCAAUCAAACCGGGAGAUAGCUGGUUCUCCCCGAAAGCUAUUUAGGUAGCGCCUCGUGAAUUCAUCUCCGGGGGUAGAGCACUGUUUCGGCUAGGGGGCCAUCCCGGCUUACCAACCCGAUGCAAACUGCGAAUACCGGAGAAUGUUAUCACGGGAGACACACGGCGGGUGCUAACGUCCGUCGUGAAGAGGGAAACAACCCAGACCGCCAGCUAAGGUCCCAAAGUCAUGGUUAAGUGGGAAACGAUGUGGGAAGGCCCAGACAGCCAGGAUGUUGGCUUAGAAGCAGCCAUCAUUUAAAGAAAGCGUAAUAGCUCACUGGUCGAGUCGGCCUGCGCGGAAGAUGUAACGGGGCUAAACCAUGCACCGAAGCUGCGGCAGCGACGCUGAUGCGUUGUUGGGUAGGGGAGCGUUCUGUAAGCCUGCGAAGGUGGCCUGUGAAGGUUGCUGGAGGUAUCAGAAGUGCGAAUGCUGACAUAAGUAACGAUAAAGCGGGUGAAAAGCCCGCUCGCCGGAAGACCAAGGGUUCCUGUCCAACGUUAAUCGGGGCAGGGUGAGUCGACCCCUAAGGCGAGGCCGAAAGGCGUAGUCGAUGGGAAACGGGUUAAUAUUCCCGUACUUGGUGUUACUGCGAAGGGGGGACGGAGAAGGCUAUGUUGGCCGGGCGACGGUUGUCCCGGUUUAAGCGUGUAGGCUGGUUUUCCAGGCAAAUCCGGAAAAUCAAGGCUGAGGCGUGAUGACGAGGCACUACGGUGCUGAAGCAACAAAUGCCCUGCUUCCAGGAAAAGCCUCUAAGCAUCAGGUAACAUCAAAUCGUACCCCAAACCGACACAGGUGGUCAGGUAGAGAAUACCAAGGCGCUUGAGAGAACUCGGGUGAAGGAACUAGGCAAAAUGGUGCCGUAACUUCGGGAGAAGGCACGCUGACACGUAGGUGAAGUGAUUUACUCAUGGAGCUGAAGUCAGUCGAAGAUACCAGCUGGCUGCAACUGUUUAUUAAAAACACAGCACUGUGCAAACACGAAAGUGGACGUAUACGGUGUGACGCCUGCCCGGUGCCGGAAGGUUAAUUGAUGGGGUCAGCGCAAGCGAAGCUCCUGAUCGAAGCCCCGGUAAACGGCGGCCGUAACUAUAACGGUCCUAAGGUAGCGAAAUUCCUUGUCGGGUAAGUUCCGACCUGCACGAAUGGCGUAAUGAUGGCCAGGCUGUCUCCACCCGAGACUCAGUGAAAUUGAACUCGCUGUGAAGAUGCAGUGUACCCGCGGCAAGACGGAAAGACCCCGUGAACCUUUACUAUAGCUUGACACUGAACAUUGAGCCUUGAUGUGUAGGAUAGGUGGGAGGCUUUGAAGUGUGGACGCCAGUCUGCAUGGAGCCGACCUUGAAAUACCACCCUUUAAUGUUUGAUGUUCUAACGUGGACCCGUGAUCCGGGUUGCGGACAGUGUCUGGUGGGUAGUUUGACUGGGGCGGUCUCCUCCUAAAGAGUAACGGAGGAGCACGAAGGUUGGCUAAUCCUGGUCGGACAUCAGGAGGUUAGUGCAAUGGCAUAAGCCAGCUUGACUGCGAGCGUGACGGCGCGAGCAGGUGCGAAAGCAGGUCAUAGUGAUCCGGUGGUUCUGAAUGGAAGGGCCAUCGCUCAACGGAUAAAAGGUACUCCGGGGAUAACAGGCUGAUACCGCCCAAGAGUUCAUAUCGACGGCGGUGUUUGGCACCUCGAUGUCGGCUCAUCACAUCCUGGGGCUGAAGUAGGUCCCAAGGGUAUGGCUGUUCGCCAUUUAAAGUGGUACGCGAGCUGGGUUUAGAACGUCGUGAGACAGUUCGGUCCCUAUCUGCCGUGGGCGCUGGAGAACUGAGGGGGGCUGCUCCUAGUACGAGAGGACCGGAGUGGACGCAUCACUGGUGUUCGGGUUGUCAUGCCAAUGGCACUGCCCGGUAGCUAAAUGCGGAAGAGAUAAGUGCUGAAAGCAUCUAAGCACGAAACUUGCCCCGAGAUGAGUUCUCCCUGAGACUUAGAGUCUCCUGAAGGAACGUUGAAGACGACGACGUUGAUAGGCCGGGUGUGUAAGCGCAGCGAUGCGUUGAGCUAACCGGUACUAAUGAACCGUGAGGCUUAACCUUACAACGCCGAAG